rnacentral:rRNA from 1 species
GAUGAACGCUGGCGGCGUGCCUAAUACAUGCAAGUCGAGCGAACAGACGAGGAGCUUGCUCCUCUGACGUUAGCGGCGGACGGGUGAGUAACACGUGGAUAACCUACCUAUAAGACUGGGAUAACUUCGGGAAACCGGAGCUAAUACCGGAUAAUAUAUUGAACCGCAUGGUUCAAUAGUGAAAGACGGUUUUGCUGUCACUUAUAGAUGGAUCCGCGCCGCAUUAUCUAGUUGGUAAGGUAACGGCUUACCAAGGCGACGAUGCGUAGCCGACCUGAGAGGGUGAUCGGCCACACUGGAACUGGAACACGGUCCAGACUCCUACGGGAGGCAGCAGUAGGGAAUCUUCCGCAAUGGGCGAAAGCCUGACGGAGCAACGCCGCGUGAGUGAUGAAGGUCUUCGGAUCGUAAAACUCUGUUAUUAGGGAAGAACAAAUGUGUAAGUAACUAUGCACGUCUUGACGGUACCUAAUCAGAAAGCCACGGCUAACUACGUG